UACGUAGGUGGCAAGCGUUGUUCGGAUUUACUGGGCGUAAAGGGCGUGCAGGCGGUUCGUUAAGUCUAGGGUGAAAGCUCCCGGCUCAACUGGGAGAGGUCCUUGGAUACUGGCGGACUUGAGGGGAGUAGAGGAGAGUGGAAUUCUCGGUGUAGUGGUGAUAUGCGUAGAUAUCGAGAGGAACACCAGUGGCGAAGGCGGCUCUCUGGGCUCUACCUGACGCUGAGACGCGAAAGCGUGGGGAGCGAACCGG
rnacentral:rRNA from 1 species